AUUGAACGCUGGCGGCAUGCCUUACACAUGCAAAUCGAACGGUAACGGGCCUUCGGGUGCCGACGAGUGGCGAACGGGUGAGUAAUACAUCGGAACGUGCCCGAUCGUGGGGGAUAACGAGGCGAAAGCUUUGCUAAUACCGCAUACGAUCUACGGAUGAAAGCAGGGGGCCGCAAGGCCUUGCGCGGACGGAGCGGCCGAUGGCAGAUUAGGUAGUUGGUGGGAUAAAAGCUUACCAAGCCGACGAUCUGUAGCUGGUCUGAGAGGAUGAUCAGCCACACUGGGACUGAGACACGGCCCAGACUCCUACGGGAGGCAGCAGUGGGGAAUUUUGGACAAAGGGCGCAAGCCUGAUCCAGCCAUGCCGCGUGCAGGAUGAAGGCCUUCGGGUUGUAAACUGAUUUUGUACGGAACGAAAAGCCUUCUUUUAAUACAGGAGGGUCAUGACGGUACCGUAAGAAUAAGCACCGGCUAACUACGUG
rnacentral:rRNA from 1 species